GUGGGGAAUAUUGCGCAAUGGGCGGAAGCCUGACGCAGCGACGCCGCGUGGGGGAUGACGGCCUUCGGGUUGUAAACCUCUUUCAGCAGGGACGAAGCGCAAGUGACGGUACCUGCAGAAGAAGCACCGGCCAACUACGUGCCAGCAGCCGCGGUAAUACGUAGGGUGCAAGCGUUGUCCGGAAUUAUUGGGCGUAAAGAGCUCGUAGGCGGUUGGUCGCGUCGGCUGUGAAAUCCCGGAGCUCAACUCCGGGCCUGCAGUCGAUACGGGCCGACUUGAGUGUUGCAGGGGAGACUGGAAUUCCUGGUGUAGCGGUGAAAUGCGCAGAUAUCAGGAGGAACACCGGUGGCGAAGGCGGGUCUCUGGGCAACAACUGACGCUGAGGAGCGAAAGCGUGGGGAGCGAACAGGAUUAGAUACCCUAGUAGUCC
rnacentral:rRNA from 1 species